rnacentral:tRNA from 1 species
GGAGGCGUAGUGUAGCGGUUAACAUGUCGGCCUGUCAAGCCGAAGAUCGCGGGUUCGAAUCCCGUCGCUUCCG